CUCAGCAUGCUGCUGGGGUUUCGUGACCAUGGGCGACUCCGCUUGCUGUUCAUCGUUUUUAUUGUGAUACUGACGGGUGGAAUUUGCCUCACAUACAAUUGGCAACAAGAGGAGGAUGCAGAGUGGAUGUCACAGCCUAGAGAGCCAUCGGUUGAACCCCUGGCGAGCAUCCGUGUAGACGAUGUUCUACUGGCGUUGCCCAGGCCCACGCCCGGACGGAGCAUAUUUUUCCAUGAAACGCGCAGCUAUGAUGCCAAAAAUAAAGAGUAUAAUCAUCCACUGCAUCUGAAUGCCCGUCAAGCGUGUGCAAUCGAAUCUGCGGCACUCCACAAUCCGAAUUCCCAAGUAUUUGUUUUGUUUCUCCAUCGAAAAUACGCACUUACUGGUGUUCACUCAAACGAAGGCAAGAACAGCACGGAGCAGCCUCUUUUCGAUGCUGUCCUAAGCUACAGCAAUGUCCACUUGAGGCGUGUGAAUCUCUGGAGAUAUGCUGCAGGCACACCCAUCGAGGAAUGGCUCAAAAACGGUCAACUCUUUCGCUCGCGCUUUUUGGUCUCUCAUAUAUCGGAUUUCCUGCGUUUUGUAACACUAUUUCGCUAUGGCGGAUUGUAUUUGGACUUGGAUGUGGUUGUGCUGAAAAGUAUGGAGGAUGUGCCACCCAAUUACACUGGAGCCGAGUUCGAGGACGUGCUUAGCUCUGCCGUCAUUAACUUGGCACCUACUGGCGUUGGUCAUAAGAUUGCCAAGUCGCUGCUGUACGACUUUCAGCAUAAUUUUAAUGGCCAACAUUGGGGUAACAAUGGGCCGGGUGUGAUUACCCGAGUGGCCCAACAAAUUUGCAGCACCAAAAAUAUCUCAGUGCUGCUGGAGAAUCGCAAACGCUGCUUGGGCUUCCAAGUGUUUGACUGCACAGCCUUUAACCCUGUACCAUCCGAAAAUUGGAGGCAAUUCUUUGAACCCGACGAUUUGGAGCAGACCAUGGCACUCACCAAGUACUCGUAUGUGGUGCAUGUGUGGAACAAGCAGUCGAAUAAGGUGCCCAUUAAGGUGGGUUCAAGCAGUGCAUAUGCCAAAUUGGCAGAACGUAAUUGCCCGCGCGCCUAUCAUGCGGCGGGUGAAUAUUUCUAGGCGAAGAGUUUUCUUGGCUUUGCACUCGCCUGCAGCGGUUUUUAUUUUAUCUCACUUCACAAUAAACACUGGAGGGAUAAACGCUGCCUCCUUCUGUUGCUGUUCCUUUGACUUGGCCUAAAAAAAACUUACCGUCGUGCAAAGUAAAAUAUCCCUAGUUACCCUAGUUUACCGGUGUUCAAAGUAAAAUAUCCCAAUAUUAGAAUAGAUGCGAAAAGGCAAUCAGUGUGGUGGGGACCAAUAACUAACGCUCGGAGAGGCACCCGCCAAAAAGAAGCAAAAAAAUUGCCGCUGUCUUGAAUAAGUUGGUAAAUUCUCCUCGCUCCGAGCCUUUCUUGCUUUCAAUGGGCUGUUGCCCAAUUGGUCUUUAUCGACGGGAACAAAUCUUGCGAAUAAUUAUGUGAAGCUUUGGAAUGGUUCAAAUUCAUUUUCUACUUCAAGAAGGCUGUGACGAAAAUUGUUUGUUGCCGAUAAAAGUAUGCCGUGUUUCAAAUGAAGAAUCUGCCCAAAUACUUAAUUAUUUAUAGUUAUUUAUUUCACAAAAUUAUAUUGUUGUCCAAAUUUAAGCGACGUAGAUCAUCAGAGGUUGAGUUUUCUUGCCCUCAGCAUGCUGCUGGGGUUUCGUGACCAUGGGCGACUCCGCUUGCUGUUCAUCGUUUUAAUUGUGAUACUGACAGGUGGAAUUUGCCUCACAUACAAUUGGCAAAAAGAGGAGGAUGCAGAGUUGAUGCCACAGCCUAUAGAGCCAUCGGUUGAACCCCUGGCGAGCAUUCGUGUAGACGAUGUUCUACUGGCGAUG